AGACACAUUUUUGGGAAAUAGUUGUUUCACUUCUGUAAAGUUCUCCUGUGAAAAACAUUUUCCUGUACUCUUGUAAUUAUGGUUUAAGGGCACUCAUCUGCCAUCGUUGAUAAAAAGUUUAUUAGAAUAUGGGCAUAUUCUUUACAUCAUCUUUAACACUGAGAUCAAAGCUUUUCGAGCCAUUUUGUCUUGGGCCAGCAUUGUGCUGCUUGCUAUAAUCCUCCCACCAAUUUGAAGCAUGUGGUUCCUUCUCUGUGUUUUUACUAUAGAUGCAGAUUUACACUCCAUAGGCAUACACAAUGAUUAAGAUGCAUCGAAUUCAGUACUCGGAUCUCCACUCUUUGGUGGCCUAAAUUGGUGAGACUUCUUUUCCAGCAUCAUUUUCAAUUCCCUGUUAAUCGAUACUUGAAGUUAAUAUAAUCACAUGAGUUUUGAAUUAUAGGUAUAUGAAUUUGCUCUGUUUUACAAUCUUUAAAAUCUUGUUAUGGAAAUCCGUACCCAUACAUUGUUGGAGACACUAAUAAACCUCUGCAUUCUCAGAUUGCAUUGAAAAGUGCACAAGGGAAAGGAAAUGAUUUGCUCUACAGAAGGGUUUCCUCUGCUGGAAUACUUGCAUUCUAAAGGAGUGGAGAGUAGAUGAAGUAUUGAUGCCAAUCCCUGUGCAUUUGUCAAUUGAUGGAUGCUCUGAUUUGAAGAUGCUUCCAAAAGGACGACAAGAAAUUGGAGUUGUGGAUCAUGCAUUCAUAAUUCAAAGCCAUGUUUAGAGAAGAUGAAGAAAGAUUGGCAUAGGAUUCAACAUAUAUUCGUCAGCGAUGUAGGCGAUUAUUAAGAUGUGCUAGCUUUGAAUUCAUCACUUGCAUUUCCUCUACUUGUGAGGUAAAGUGCUGGCUGUAUCUUGUGGUUCACCUUAUGUAGGCUUCUUAUUGUCCUAUGGGCAUUUGUCAUUGGCCUUCUUGCAAUCAUCCUUCAUUCAAGUUUUAGAACACCUAAUCUGAAAGCUUAUUUGAACGUAUUCCACAAGGAAUUCCAUACAACUGAUUAGACAGAUAACUUUUUAUUGGUAUUGUGCUUUUAUGAAUGGAUUAAAAUUAAUGAUUGUAUUUUAUUGAAUGAAUGAAUGAUUAUACACAAGUUUAUGUAUAAAUUAAGAUGAA